UACGUAGGGGCAAGCGUUGUCCGGAUUUAUUGGGCGUAAAGAGCUCGUAGGCGGUUCAUUGCGUCAAUCGUGAAAUCCUGUGGCUCAACUACAGGCUUGCGGUUGAUACGGGUGGCUGGAGUUCGUAGGGAGACUGGAAUUCCUGGUGUAGCGGUGAAAUGCGCAGAUAUCAGGAAGAACACCCGUGGCGAAAGCGGCUCUCUGGAACGGUACUGACGCUGAGACGCGAAGCGUGGGGAGCGAACAGG
rnacentral:rRNA from 1 species